CUUUAAAUCCGAAAUCCCGCGCAGGCGCCAGUUCUCGCGAUCUCCGAUGUCGCCUACAUAUUACCCACAACUCCCUUUUCUUUCUCUCUCCUCCAGCAACCCAAGAUGCCGAAAGGGAAGAAGGCGAAGGGGAAGAAGGUGGCCCCGGCCCCUGCUGUCGUGAA